GACGUAGGGCGCGAGCGUUGUCCGGAUUUAUUGGGCGUAAAGAGCUCGUAGGCGGCUUGUCGCGUCGUCCGUGAAAACCCACAGCUCAACUGUGGGCUUGCGGUCGAUACGGGCAGGCUAGAGUUCGGUAGGGGAGACUGGAAUUCCUGGUGUAGCGGUGAAAUGCGCAGAUAUCAGGAGGAACACCGGUGGCGAAGGCGGGUCUCUGGGCCGAUACUGACGCUGAGGAGCGAAAGCGUGGGGAGCGAACAGG
rnacentral:rRNA from 1 species